AGACCCGAAACCCGGUGAUCUAGCCAUGGGCAGGUUGAAGGUUGGGUAACACUAACUGGAGGACCGAACCGACUAAUGUUGAAAAAUUAGCGGAUGACUUGUGGCUGGGGGUGAAAGGCCAAUCAAACCGGGAGAUAGCUGGUUCUCCCCGAAAGCUAUUUAGGUAGCGCCUCGUGAAUUCAUCUCCGGGGGUAGAGCACUGUUUCGGCAAGGGGGUCAUCCCGACUUACCAACCCGAUGCAAACUGCGAAUACCGGAGAAUGUUAUCACGGGAGACACACGGCGGGUGCUAACGUCCGUCGUGAAGAGGGAAACAACCCAGACCGCCAGCUAAGGUCCCAAAGUCAUGGUUAAGUGGGAAACGAUGUGGGAAGGCCCAGACAGCCAGGAUGUUGGCUUAGAAGCAGCCAUCAUUUAAAGAAAGCGUAAUAGCUCACUGGUCGAGUCGGCCUGCGCGGAAGAUGUAACGGGGCUAAACCAUGCACCGAAGCUGCGGCAGCGACACUGUGUGUUGUUGGGUAGGGGAGCGUUCUGUAAGCCUGUGAAGGUGUGCUGUGAGGCAUGCUGGAGGUAUCAGAAGUGCGAAUGCUGACAUAAGUAACGAUAAAGCGGGUGAAAAGCCCGCUCGCCGGAAGACCAAGGGUUCCUGUCCAACGUUAAUCGGGGCAGGGUGAGUCGACCCCUAAGGCGAGGCCGAAAGGCGUAGUCGAUGGGAAACAGGUUAAUAUUCCUGUACUUGGUGUUACUGCGAAGGGGGGACGGAGAAGGCUAUGUUGGCCGGGCGACGGUUGUCCCGGUUUAAGCGUGUAGGCUGGUUUUCCAGGCAAA
rnacentral:rRNA from 1 species